rnacentral:rRNA from 1 species
UCCGUAGGUGAACCUGCGGAGGGAUCAUUACAGAGUUGCAAAACUCCCACAAACCAUCGCGAAUCUUACCCGUACGGUUGCCUCGGCGCUGGCGGUCCGGAAAGGCCCUCGGGUCCUCCCGGAUCCUCGGGUCUCCCGCUCGCGGGAGGCUGCCCGCCGGAGUGCCGAAACUAAACUCUUGAUAUUUUAUGUCUCUCUGAGUAAACUUUUAAAUAAGUCAAAACUUUCAACAACGGAUCUCUUGGUUCUUGCAUCGAUGAAGAACGCAGCGAAAUGCGAUAAGUAAUGUGAAUUGCAGAAUUCAGUGAAUCAUCGAAUCUUUGAACGCACAUUGCGCUCGCCAGUAUUCUGGCGAGCAUGCCUGUUCGAGCGUCAUUUCAACCAUCAAGCUCUGCUUGCGUUGGGGAUCCGCGGCUGCCCGCGGUCCCUCAAAAUCAGUGGCGGGCUCGCUAGUCACACCGAGCGUAGUAACUCUACAUCGCUAUGGUCGUGCGGCGGGUUCUUGCCGUAAAACCCCCCAUUUCUAAGGUUGACCUCGGAUCAGGUAGGAAUACCCGCUGAACUUAAGCAUAUCAAUAAGCGGAGGAA